UACGUAGGGUGCGAGCGUUAAUCGGAAUUACUGGGCGUAAAGCGUGCGCAGGCGGUUUUGUAAGCCAGGUGUGAAAUCCCCGGGCUCAACCUGGGAAUGGCAUUUGGGACUGCAAGGCUGGAGUGCGGCAGAGGAGACUGGAAUUCCUGGUGUAGCAGUGAAAUGCGUAGAUAUCAGGAGGAAUACCGAUGGCGAAGGCAGGUCUCUGGGCUGACACUGACGCUCAUGCACGAAAGCGUGGGGAGCGAAACAAGG
rnacentral:rRNA from 1 species